rnacentral:rRNA from 1 species
AACAAGUUGGAAUCGACUGCCUAAUUAACCCAAUAUGCCGGAAGGGUGAAAUGCUUUCUAUCGCCUGAAGAUGAGGCUCGCGUCUGAUUAGCUAGUUGGCGGAGGUAAAGACCCACCCAACGCGACGAUUCAGUAGCUGGUCUGAGAGGAUGAGCAAGCCACACUGGGACUGAGACACGGCCCAGACUCUUACGGGAGGCAGCAGUGGGGAAUUUUCCGCAAUGGGCGAAAGCCUGACGGAGCAAUACCGCGUGAGGGAGGAAGGUCUUUGGAUUGUAAACCUCUUUUCUCAGGGAAGAAGAUCUGACGGUACCUGAGGAAUAAGCAUCGGCUAACUCCGUGCCAGCAGCCGCGGUAAUACGGAGGAUGCAAGCGUUAUCCGGAAUUAUUGGGCGUAAAGAGUCCGUAGGUGGCUAAUCAAGUCUGUUGUCAAAGACCGCAGCUUAACUGCGGAAAGGCAAUGGAAACUGAUGAGCUAGAGUAUGGUAGGGGUAGAGGGAAUUCCCAGUGUAGCGGUGAAAUGCGUAGAUAUUGGGAAGAACACCGGUGGCGAAAGCGCUCUACUGGACCAAAACUGACACUGAGGGACGAAAGCUAAGGUAGCGAAAGGGAUUAGAUACCCCUGUAGUCUUAGCCGUAAACGAUGGAUACUAGGCGUUGCUUGUAUCGACCCGAGCAGUGCCGAAGCUAACGCGUUAAGUAUCCCGCCUGGGGAGUACGCACGCAAGUGUGAAACUCAAAGGAAUUGACGGGGGCCCGCACAAGCGGUGGAGUAUGUGGUUUAAUUCGAUGCAACGCGAAGAACCUUACCAAGACUUGACAUCCCGCGAAUCUUUCGGAGACGAGAGAGUGCCUUCGGGAACGCGGAGACAGGUGGUGCAUGGCUGUCGUCAGCUCGUGUCGUGAGAUGUUGGGUUAAGUCCCGCAACGAGCGCAACCCUCGUCCUUAGUUGCCAGCAUUAAAGUUGGGCACUCUAGGGAGACUGCCGGGGACAACUCGGAGGGAAGGGUGGGGAUGACGUCAAGUCAUCAUGCCCCUUACGUUUUGGGCUAACACACGUACUACAAUGGGUCGGGACAAAAGGGC